rnacentral:lncRNA from 1 species
GAGAGAGAGAGAGAGAGAGAGAGAGAGAGAGAGAGAGAGAUCGCCCUCUGGUAAUGGGGUUAUGAUAACAUUGAUUGUUCUCAAAUGAGCCACACCGCAGAGACAGAGGAUAAUUCUCCUUCUCCCAAGUCAGUAUUUACUGCCUUUUUUUCUUCUUUAGCUCUUCCAUUUUAAACAUAAUUUAGCUGUCUUUUUCCCCCCUUCUGCUGCUGGGAAGAGAAAGGGUUGGAGGGGGAGGGGAAGGCAAAAAGAAAAGGAGGAUUAGAGGCUUGACCUGUUUCUCGGGAAGAGAUGCCACAUCCCUCUCUCAGAUGUGCUUCGUGACCAGGCAGGGUACAAUUAAAAGCACAAUAAUUUGCUUGUUAUUCAAGUCAGGCAUUAGUCCGGGUAAUGGCGUGCUUGGUGGAGAGAUGGAUUUCCUUGUUAGGCAAUAAGCGCAGGAUUAACUGAAUUCUCCAUGGAGAAAUCUUGAUUUGUUCAAGGUCUUUCAUGUUUUCUACAGAGAAGGGAUUAUGUCUUCUUAAAGAGGGGCCUUGCUUAAAAAGCUACAAAGUAUAAGAAAAGGAUUUAGGGCAGAGGGGCCUGUGGUUAAGUAGCUGAGGGGUACAGGGAAUUUUAGAGCAAGGGAUUAUUUAAAGCCAUAAAGUUCAAAAAAUAAUUGGUUUAGCACUACUGGGUCAGUGCUGGCAAGCUCACAGUAAGGCAGCUAAGCAUGGGCUAAUAUUCAUUUUACUUUGGCUAAUUAUUGCAUGGAUCCAG